ACCAUAACGCUAGCUCAAUUACCAAUCACCUAUAAUUACUUAAACUAAAACAUUUAAAAUUUUAGUACAAGGCGAUAGAAAAAACACUUCUGACGCAAUAGAAAAAGUACCGUAAGGGAAUGCUGAAAAAGAAUUUAAAUAAACCAUUAAAGUAUUAAAAAGCAAGGAUUAACCCCUGUACCUUUUGCAUCAUGAUCUGACUAGUCACAUCAAAGGCAAAAAGACCUUAAGUCUUCUUCCCCGAAACUAGACGAGCUAUUUAAAAGCAACCUAAACAUAGGGUAAAUCCGUCUCUGUGGCAAAAGAGUGGAAAGACUUUUAAAUAGAGAUGACAUAUCAAACGAGCCUAGUGAUAGCUGGUUACUCAAGAAACGAGUUUAAGCUCCUCCUUAAAUCUUAUUCCAAUAUCCUAAAAAUAACAAUAAAAACUUAAGAGAAAUUCAAAAGGGGUACAGCCCUUAUGAAAAAGGAUACAACCUAAAAUAACGGGUAAUGAUUAAAUUCACCUUAAAAUCCUGACCAAAGUAAGCCUAAAAGCAGCUACCUAUUAAGAAAGCGUCAUAGCUCAAAUCAAAACAAACAAUUAACAAUUUAAAUAUUAACUCAAAACCCAUUAAACCUAAUGAGUACAUCUAUAAAUUUAUAGCCAAAUUAAUGUUAGAAUUAGUAAUAAGAAGCCACAAUCUUCUCUAUAGCAUACAUGUAAAUCAGCCCGAACUAAUCACUGAUGAUUAACGACUAAACAAUUUAACAUAGACAAUAGUACUAGACAUACAACUUCCUCUACACCGUUAACCCAACACAGGAAUGCUAUUAAGAAAGACAUAAUAGUAAAGAAGGAACUCGGCAAUCAUACAAGCUUCGCCUGUUUACCAAAAACAUCACCUCUAGCAAACAUAACACGUAUUAGAGGCACUGCCUGCCCAGUGAUUUAAUUCAACGGCCGCGGUAUUCUGACCGUGCAAAGGUAGCAUAAUCACUUGUCUUUUAAAUAAAGACUAGUAUGAAUGGCACCACGAAAGCUUAACUGUCUCCUUUACUUAGUCAAUGAAAUUGAUCUCCACGUACAAAAGCGUGAAUAACACAAUAAGACGAGAAGACCCUAUGGAACUUAAAACACGCAACCACCUUAACCCACCACAAUAGUAAUAUAACUUCUGGACCUCGCUGUUUUUGGUUGGGGCGACCACGGAGAAAAACAUAACCUCCGAGAAUAUAUACCAAGAUUGACAAAAUAAGGUACUAAAAACUUAGAACAUAAGACCCAAUAAAUUUGAUCAUCGAACCAAGCUACCCUAGGGAUAACAGCGCAAUCUUCUUCACGAGCCCUUAUCACCAAGAAGGUUUACGACCUCGAUGUUGGAUCAGGAUACCCAGACAGUGCAGCCGCCGUCAAAGGUUUGUUUGUUCAACAAUUAAUAAUCCUACGUGAUCUGAGUUCAGACCGGAGCAAUCCAGGUCAGUUUCUAUCUAUUAAUUUAUCUCAUUCAGUACGAAAGGACCAAUGAAAUAGGACCAAUAUAAAAUACACGUCCUCUAAAAAUUUAUGUAACCAACUAAAUAUUAUAUCAUUAUCACACCCCUAAAACAGGGGUUU
rnacentral:rRNA from 1 species